GAACGGUGUCUUCGGACACAGUGGCGGACGGGUGAGUAACGCGUGAGAAUCUGCCAUCAGGUCUGGGACAACCACUGGAAACGGUGGCUAAUACCGGAUGUGCCCUUCGGGGUGAAAGGUUAACUGCCUGUUGAUGAGCUCGCGUCUGAUUAGCUAGUUGGUGUGGUAAGAGCGCACCAAGGCGACGAUCAGUAGCUGGUCUGAGAGGACGAUCAGCCACACUGGGACUGAGACACGGCCCAGACUCCUACGGGAGGCAGCAGUGGGGAAUUUUCCGCAAUGGGCGAAAGCCUGACGGAGCAAUACCGCGUGAGGGAGGAAGGCUCUUGGGUCGUAAACCUCUUUUCUCAGGGAAGAACACAAUGACGGUACCUGAGGAAUAAGCAUCGGCUAACUCCGUGCCAGCAGCCGCGGUAAUACGGAGGAUGCAAGCGUUAUCCGGAAUGAUUGGGCGUAAAGCGUCCGCAGGUGGCUAUGUAAGUCUGCUGUUAAAGAGUCUAGCUCAACUAGAUAAGAGCAGUGGAAACUACAAGGCUAGAGUGCGUUCGGGGCAGAGGGAAUUCCUGGUGUAGCGGUGAAAUGCGUAGAGAUCAGGAAGAACACCGGUGGCGAAGGCGCUCUGCUAGGCCGCAACUGACACUGAGGGACGAAAGCUAGGGGAGCGAAUGGGAUUAGAUACCCCAGUAGUCCUAGCCGUAAACGAUGGAUACUAGGCGUGGCUUGUAUCGACCCGAGCCGUGCCGUAGCUAACGCGUUAAGUAUCCCGCCUGGGGAGUACGCCGGCAACGGUGAAACUCAAAGGAAUUGACGGGGGCCC
rnacentral:rRNA from 2 species